rnacentral:rRNA from 1 species
CCUACGGGAGGCAGCAGUAGGGAAUAUUGCUCAAUGGGGGAAACCCUGACGCAGCAACGCCGCGUGGAGGAUGAAGGUUUUCGGAUUGUAAACUCCUUUUGUUAGAGAAGAUAAUGACGGUAUCUAACGAAUAAGCACCGGCUAACUCCGUGCCAGCAGCCGCGGUAAUACGGAGGGUGCAAGCGUUACUCGGAAUCACUGGGCGUAAAGAGCGCGUAGGCGGGAUAGCAAGUCAGAUGUGAAAUCCUAGGGCUUAACCAUAGAACUGCAUUUGAAACUGGUAUUCUAGAGUAUGGGAGAGGUAGGUGGAAUUCUUGGUGUAGGGGUAAAAUCCGUAGAGAUCAAGAGGAAUACUCAUUGCGAAGGCGACCUGCUAGAACAUAACUGACGCUGAUGCGCGAAAGCGUGGGGAGCAAACAGGAUUAGAUACCCGAGUAGUC